UACGUAGGGGGCAAGCGUUGUCCGGAUUCAUUGGGCGUAAAGAGCUCGUAGGCGGUUCAGUAAGUCGGGUGUGAAAGCUCCGAGCUCAACUCGGAGAGGCCACCCGAUACUGCUGUGACUUGAGUCCAGUAGAGGAGCGUGGAAUUCCUGGUGUAGCGGUGAAAUGCGCAGAUAUCAGGAGGAACACCAGUGGCGAAGGCGACUACCUGGCCUGUUCUUGACGCUGAGGCGCGAAAGCUAGGGGAGCAAACGGG
rnacentral:rRNA from 1 species